GGCUUAAUGGAAAUUGUUUGUUUUGAAAACAUACUAAGGGUGUUCGAAUCAUCUGUAAGCUU
rnacentral:tRNA from 1 species